AUUGAACGCUGGCGGCAGGCCUAACACAUGCAAGUCGAGCGGAUGAAGGGAGCUUGCUCCUGGAUUCAGCGGCGGACGGGUGAGUAAUGCCUAGGAAUCUGCCUGGUAGUGGGGGAUAACGUCCGGAAACGGGCGCUAACACCGCAUACGUCCUGAGGGAGAAAGUGGGGGAUCUUCGGACCUCACGCUAUCAGAUGAGCCUAGGUCGGAUUAGCUAGUUGGUGGGGUAAAGGCCUACCAAGGCGACGAUCCGUAACUGGUCUGAGAGGAUGAUCAGUCACACUGGAACUGAGACACGGUCCAGACUCCUACGGGAGGCAGCAGUGGGGAAUAUUGGACAAUGGGCGAAAGCCUGAUCCAGCCAUGCCGCGUGUGUGAAGAAGGUCUUCGGAUUGUAAAGCACUUUAAGUUGGGAGGAAGGGCAGUAAGUUAAUACCUUGCUGUUUUGACGUUACCAACGGAAUAAGCACCGGCUAACUUCGUG
rnacentral:rRNA from 1 species